rnacentral:rRNA from 1 species
AUUGAACGCUGGCGGCGUGCUUAACACAUGCAAGUCGUGCGGUAACAGGCGUAGCAAUACGUGCUGACGAGCGGCGAACGGGUGCGUAAUACAUGGGAAUCUGCCCUUUAGUGGGGAAUAACCCGGCGAAAGCCGGGCUAAUGCCGCAUAAGAUCUUCGGAUGAAAGCGGGGGAGUCGUAAGACCUCGCGCUGAUGGAUGAGCCCACUGUCGGAUUAGCUAGUGGUUGAGGUAACGGCUCACCAAGGCGACGAUCCGUAGCUGGUCUGAGAGGACGGGCCAGCCACACUGGGACGUGAGACACGGCCC